AUGGCUUCUUCAAGCAGUGGUCAUGAGAACCAUGAACACGGCAAUGGAUCUUCAGGACCAAAAGAUGUGCAUGAAACUGCUCCUAGCAAUGCAACAGAUUGCAUUGAUGAAAGGGUACCAAAGGUUGGCAUGCAAUUUGUAUCUGAAGAGGAAGCUUACUCCUUUUAUAACAAGUAUGCAAAGGCUAUUGGUUUUAGCAUCCGAAGAGGGAGUCAACAUAAAGUAAAGAAUUCUUCCGUGAUACAACAAAGAACAUUUACAUGCUCCCGUCAAGGAUUCCGUGCAGAAGAUAAGAGAGAGGAUUCUUUCAGUUACAGUAGGCCCGAAACACAAUGUGGCUGUCAAGCCCAUAUGAAGAUAAGUCUCAAAAACGGAUUAUAUUAUGUGUAUGAAUUUGAGGCUGCACAUAAUCAUAAUCUUGCUACUGGAGACAUGGCCUUAUACUUAAGAUCCCAAAGAAAAGUGACGGAAGCACAAAUAGCAAACGCUGAGGUCGCAAAGUCUGUAGGCAUUUUGAAUAAAGCAACUAUUGAUCUUAUGGCCAAAGAAGCAUGUGGACUUCCAAAUCUUGGGUUUGCACCUAAAGAUAUGAAAAAUCGUUUAUACUCUAAGAGAACAUUGCAAGCAAAGAAAGGAGACACAGGGGGAGUGUUAGAAUACAUGGAGAAGAAGGUAAAAGAAGAUGCCAAUUUUUUCUAUUCAAUUCAAGUUGAUGAGGAUGAUCUGAUAACUAAUAUUUUCUGGGCUGACUCGAAAAUGAUAUCGGACUAUGCAAUGUUUGGUGAUGUUAUAUGCUUUGACACCACAUAUAGGAAACUAGAUGAUGGGCGUCCCUUUGGUUUGAUUGUUGGGGUGAAUAAUCACAAGAAAACUAUGGUCUUUGGUGCUACACUUCUCUAUGAUGAAACUGCUGAAAGUUUUGGUUGGCUUUUUAGAACAUUUCUAACAGCCAUGUCUGGGAAACAUCCAAGGACUAUUCUGACCGAUGAAGAUGCAGCAAUGGCCAAGUCAAUUAGUAAACAUUUUGAGCACCUAGUUGCGGAUAAAAGAUUUGUAGAGGUCAAGUGUGACUUCAAGGCCUCACAAAGUACUCCCAAGCUGAAGGCAGAAGGAAGCUAUGUGUUAAGGCAAGCCGCAAGUACAUAUACUCCCGCAAUAUUCAAGAUGUUUCAGGAGCAAGUGCUUCGGACCCUGAACUAUGACACAUUUCUUUGUGAUUCAAGUGAUAAAGAGAAGAGGGUUUAUACACUAGCACGAAAUGUGGAGCAAAGCUUGAAAGUUAGAGUUGAUCCAGACCCAAAUCCGGAUUUGGGUGACUCCUCUGUUUCACAAGGUCUGAACAUCGACUCUACUAGAGUUUCAAAGCAUAACGAGGGGCUUCACAUGCCAAGAGGUAUGAAGUGUCAAUUCGGAGAAAAUAUUGUACCAGGAUCAGGAAGACCCGUUGGUGGCUCGGAGAAAGCAAAAACAAAGAAGAAAAAGAAGGCAGUCCAUUCUUUACAACGACCUGAAAUGCCUUUGACAAACCAAACGCCUAGGUAUCUACCACAGUACAAACCAACCCAAAUGGUUCAUCUGGGAGCUCCGCCAAAUCAUGUGUACCCCUAUUUAGCACAUUACAACCCAAGUCUGCAACAAUCCAUUGGUAUGUCGACCCCUACGAUGAUGCCAGGACAAAAUCUAUUACUCUUCCAACAACAGACUCCUACCAGUGAUACUUGUACCCCUAUGAUGAUGACAGGACAGAAUCUACCAUUCUUCCAACAACAGAAUCCUACAAUUGGUACCUCUAGCCCUACGAUGAUGCCGGAACAGAAUCUAUCAUUCUUUCAACAGCAGACUCCUACCAGUGGUACCUCUACCCCUAUGAUGAUGCCCAGACAGAAUCUAUCAUUUUUCCAGCAACAAAAUCCUACCAGUGGUACCUCUACCCCGACGAUGAUGCCAGGACAAAAUCUACCAUUCUCCCAACAACAAAAGCCAGCUUAA
rnacentral:rRNA from 1 species